rnacentral:rRNA from 1 species
AUUUGGGUUUUUAACUUAGAUUUGGGUGGCGGACGGGUGAGUAACGCGUAAAGAACUUGCCUCACAGCUAGGGACAACAUUUAGAAAUGAAUGCUAAUACCUGAUAUUAUGGUUAUAGGGCAUCCUAUAAUUAUGAAAGCUAUAAGCACUGUGAGAGAGCUUUGCGUCCCAUUAGCUAGUUGGAGAGGUAACAGCUCACCAAGGCGAUGAUGGGUAGCCGGCCUGAGAGGGUGAACGGCCACAAGGGGACUGAGACACGGCCCUUACUCCUACGGGAGGCAGCAGUGGGGAAUAUUGGACAAUGGACCGAGAGUCUGAUCCAGCAAUUCUGUGUGCACGAUGAAGUUUUUCCGGAAUGUAAAGUGCUUUCAGUUGGGAAGAAAGAAAUGACGGUACCAACAGAAGAAGUGACGGCUAAAUACGUGCCAGCAGCCGCGGUAAUACGUAUGUCACGAGCGUUAUCCGGAUUUAUUGGGCGUAAAGCGCGUCUAGGUGGUUAUGUAAGUCUGAUGUGAAAAUGCAGGGCUCAACUCUGUAUUGCGUUGGAAACUGUAUAACUAGAGUACUGGAGAGGUAAGCGGAACUACAAGUGUAGAGGUGAAAUUCGUAGAUAUUUGUAGGAAUGCCGAUGGGGAAGCCAGCUUACUG